GAUCAAAUGGCUGAAUUUUAGGCGAUAGACUGUAAAUCUAUUUAUGGGGGCUGCCCUCCUUUAAUCA
rnacentral:tRNA from 1 species